AUUGAACGCUGGCGGCAGGCCUAACACAUGCAAGUCGAACGGUAACAGGAAGCAGCUUGCUGCUUUGCUGACGAGUGGCGGACGGGUGAGUAAUGUCUGGGAAACUGCCUGAUGGAGGGGGAUAACUACUGGAAACGGUAGCUAAUACCGCAUAACGUCGCCAGACCAAAGAGGGGGACCUUAUGGCCUCUUGCCAUCGGAUGUGCCCAGAUGGGAUUAGCUAGUAGGUGGGGUAACGGCUCACCUAGGCGACGAUCCCUAGCUGGUCUGAGAGGAUGACCAGCCACACUGGAACUGAGACACGGUCCAGACUCCUAAGGGAGGCAGCAGUGGGGAAUAUUGCACAAUGGGCGCAAGCCUGAUGCAGCCAUGCCGCGUGUAUGAAGAAGGCCUUCGGGUUGUAAAGUACUUUCAGCGGGGAGGAAGGGAGUAAAGUUAAGACCUUUGCUCAUUGACGUUACCCGCAGAAGAAGCACCGGCUAACUCCGUG
rnacentral:rRNA from 1 species